CCUUUUUAUCAACUCAUUCUUGUCUUACACAUGCAAGUAUCCGCACACCCGUGAGAACGCCCUCUACCCCUCCCCCAGGACGAGGGGCCGGUAUCAGGCACAGCCUUCUUGCCCAUAACACCUAGCCACGCCACACCCUCAAGGGUAUUCAGCAGUGAUAAACAUUGUUCAUAAGCGCCAGCUUGAACCAGUCAAAGAAAACAGAGCCGGCAAACCCGGUGCCAGCCGCCGCGGCUACACCGUCGGGCUCAAAUUGAUAAACACCGGCGUUAAGCGUGAUUAAAGUGAAGCCUUAUAUAGAAUUAAACCACAACCAAGUCGUGACACACUUGUUCGUGAGAAACCCAAAACGAAAGCUAUUCUAGUUUACCCACUUGAAACCACGACAGCUAGGACACAAACUGGGAUUAGGUACCCCACUAUGCCUAGCCGUAAAAUAUUAACUUACAACACCAACCGCCAGGGAAUUACGAGCCCAAGCUUAAAACCCAAAGGACUUGACGGUGUCCCACCCACCUAGAGGAGCCUGUUCUAUAAUCGAUUAUCCCCGCUACACCUCACCAUUUCUAGCCUAUUCAGCCUGUAUACCUCCGUCGUAAGCUUACCAUGUGAACGACUCAAGUGAGCCAAAAGAUUUUUCCACCAACACGUCAGGUCAAGGUGCAGCUAACGAAAUGGGAAGAAAUGGGCUACAAUUUCUAACCUAGAACAAACGAAAGACCACAUGAAACUCAGUCAUGAAGGCGGAUUUAGCAGUAAAAAGAAAACAGAGUGUUCUUUUUAAUUAGGCGCUGGGACGCGUACACACCGCCCGUCACCCUCUUCAAAUGC
rnacentral:ncRNA from 1 species